CAGAGGUAAUCAAGUUACUGAGAGGACUUUCUAGGAGGGUUGAAAUAUGUCCACAGAGUUUUGGCUUGGGAUUGAAGAGCAAAGAGGAGAAAGGCUGCACUGGGAGUCAUCACUCAGCCUUGGUGAAUUGUUUUGAUUAGAGAGAGAGAGGUCUUUGAGAUGGUUUGCAGUGAGAGCGUCAUGGUUUGUGCAGGCAGGCAGUAUUCUUUUUGUCUUUUUAUUGGGCCAAGGACAUCUACAGAUUUUAUCAAUAGGUGCAUAAAAAUUUGUAGAUGGGG
rnacentral:lncRNA from 1 species